rnacentral:rRNA from 1 species
GACGAACGCUGGCGGCGUGCUUAACACAUGCAAGUCGAACUUAGUGGCGACCGGGUGAGUAACGCGUAAUCAACCUGCCCUUACGUGGGGGACAACAGUUGGAAACGACCGCUAAUACUGCACACUGAAGGAGGGGAUUUCGUCUGAUUAGCUCGUGGGAGGGGUAACGGCCCACCAAGUCGAUGAUCAGUAGCCGGUCUGAGAGGAGGACCGGCAACAUUGGUACUGAGACACGGCCCAGACUCCUACGGGAGGCAGCAGUGGGGAAUCUUCCGCAAUGGACGAAAGUCUGACGGAGCAACGCCGCGUGAGUGAUGACGGCCUUCGGGUUGUAAAGCUCUGUUAAUCGGGAAGCGGUACCGGAAUAGAAAGCCACGGCUAACUACGUGCAAGCAGCCGCGGAAUAC